GUGGGAAAGGUCACAGUCAGGAGCUUGGACCAGCAGAAACAGUUCUCAUUUCUCUCAGGAAGCUGGGAGUUGUUAGGAGCAAAGUUCCAGUUUCUAGAUUAGGAAUUUACCAGAGGAAGGCAGGACCUUGGCUCAGGAAGAAACAAAGAACAAAGCAACUCGCCCCAGGGAGGAACUAAGAUCCAGCAAAUGAGGCUGACACCUUGAGCACACCUCUGAAAUCUUUGCUUGAGGAAACUAAAGUCGAUAAAUUCUGCUUCUCGUGAGAAAGAAAAUUUUAUCCAAACUAUCCAUAAAUGUUUUCCUGUUUCAAUGGAACAGCAUGGCAUCACCAUACCCUACCUGCAAAUCUCAAGGGCAAGACAACUCACUUGGUGGACAUAACAAGCAAUCUGGCCUCCACAUCGACAAUCCAGAUGGCUGUUAGUAGCUGAGCGGGGCUGGCCAUCAGCAAACUCAAUCCAGCUCCUUUAUUACGGGCGACCUUCUCCCUGUGGCCUGCAAGCCACAUGGUCUUGUCUAAGGGACUGUGUGUUUUGAAUGUAAUGGGUGUUUUUCAAUUUCUAACAUCCACACCUCGGUUCAUUUUUAAAACUCAUGUGCCAUUUGGAAAUGUGCUAAAUGGGAAACCGUG
rnacentral:lncRNA from 1 species